UAUCUACGAAUCGCCCUGACUACGAUUGC
rnacentral:sRNA from 1 species